UUGCCAGGGGCUGGUGAUGGGAGGGGCAGGGUGAGCACGGUGUGGGGGAUGGGUAGUGCUUGCUAACAAGUGUGGGGUUUCUUUCUGGGUGAUGAAAGUUUUCUAAAAUUAGAUUGUGGCGAUGGCUGCACAACUCUGAAUGUACGAAAAACCACUGAAUUGAACUAUACACUCUACAUGGGUGAACUGUGCAGUACGUGAAUUAUGAAGGGAACAGUUUUAAGAUAUAAGCCAGUGUCAUCCUGUCUUUCCACAUACACCCUGCAACGUGUACACACACAUCUGGCAGCCAGCACACUGAGCGUGCACUAGGAAUAACAGAGGAAGACGUGGUCCUGUCCACCGCGUACAUCUCAGUGAGUGACCAUAUUUCAGUUCACUGGGGGAAUGUGCUAGAGUAGAAGCAGAAUCUCCUCUGCAGGAGUUUUAACAAGGAACUCAUAGGAAAAACAACGUACGUGUAGUUUCAAUAAGUUGCUUUCCUUGAUUUAUAGCUGUUGGUAUCAUGACAAACACUAAUUUAAUCUUACACAUUAUAUCACCUAACAGCUAUAAAUAGUAAUAAUAAAUCAUCAUAUCAAACAAAGUCCAAAGUUCCUACAUGCCCAAAACAAAAGGAUUAUAAGAUGUCUACCUGCAUUGAAGACUGGGCUGUAAGAAUAAUAAAACCUUACACUUGAUGAUGUACCACAUCAGGAAUUUUUUAAAAAAUCUUUCAAAACCUCCUAUGUAGUGUUUUGAAAUACCAGUUGCAUUCUCCUGUUUGGCAGGAAGGCAGAAAGAGGCAGACAGUAAUUUGGCAGGGCUGGGAGACCUCGAACCCAGGCAGGGUGCAGAGACCCUCGAACACUGCGGCAGUGCUCUGAUCACUCGCCAGAGCCGGUGCCAUGUGGUGGCUGGAAUCACCCAUGGUGACAGCAGUGAACACCGCUGUGCACAAUCGUGAAGACUAACAGCAGACCUUACCAGCUUCAUACAAACGGGGACAAUUCAUCCUAAAGUUCACAGACUCCAACUGACACUAAAGGGAAGACAUACUGGCAGCGCACUGAUUAUCAACUGUGCUGCUUUCGUUCCUUGUUCUGAAGGCUGCUCGCACCUACCCCAGAGCAGGCAGAAUGGAACUAAGAACUAGGAACACCAAGACGCCUGGGUUCCUCGUCGGGUCUGACACCGACUUCCUGCGUGACCUUGAGAAUGACCUCUUCAGGCGCGUCUUGAGCGCCACCGAGAAAUCAAGGAGCCGCAGAGAUGGUCUUAGCCCUGAGCUGACGUGGGGGCGGAAGCCCUCCAGAUCUCAGAUUCUCACCAAAAAGGUAAAGGAGGCGCUACCGCCCUCCCUCUACGAGGGUACAGGUGGUAACAGGGUGUCCGUGUCCUUCGAACGGGACACAGUCGCAGGAGCAGCCCGGGGAGGGCUGGGGGGCCUAGCAGGAAGCGGACUGGGAUUUCACACAGGACCUCGCCUGCCCGGCACCCGCAGCCCGCGAGGGGACCCGGCUCCACCGAGCGCAGCGCGGGAGACCCGGCCGUCAGCAAGGAGCGGUCCAGCCUCCGACGGGCAGCUCAGCGCGGGGCCUGGGCUCCGGCCUGGGUACCGGGAGCAGGGCCGCGCCCCUCCUCGACCUUGACGCCGUCCCCUUCGGGCGCGGCCGUCCGGGUGCGGGGUGCGCACAUCCGCGCGCUGGCCACGGAGCCGCCGCCCCAUCUGGCCCGCCGAUCCACGCGGCCGCCGCCCGCC